rnacentral:rRNA from 1 species
CCUGCAUGAAGUCGGAAUUGCUGUAAUCGCAGAUCAGCAUGCUGCGGUGAAUACGUUCCCGGGCCUUGUACACACCGCCCGUCACACCAUGGGAGUCGGUAACACCCGAAGUCAGGAGCCUGACCUUUUUAGGAGGGCACUGCCGAAGGUGGGAUUGAUGACUGGGGUGAAGUCGUAACAAGGUAUC